rnacentral:rRNA from 1 species
AAUCAACGCUGGCGGCGUGCCUAACACAUGCAAGUCGAACGCGAAAGUCCCGCAAGGGAUGAGUAGAGUGGCGAACGGGUGAGUAACGCGUGGGUGACCUGCCUUCGAGUGGGGGAUAACGUCUCGAAAGGGACGCUAAUACCGCAUGACAUCCUGUUUUUAGACAGGCGGAGAUCAAAGCUGGGGAUCGCAAGACCUGGCGCUCGAAGAGGGGCCCGCGUCCGAUUAGCAGUUGGUGGGGUAAUGGCCUACCAAGGCGACGAUCGGUAGCCGGCCUAAGAGGGCGGACGGCCACACUGGGACUGAGACACGGCCCAGACUCCGUACGGGAGGCAGCAGUGGGGAAUUGUUCGCAAUGGGCGCAAG